GUUUACACUGCCACAGGGACGGGAGGUCCGCUCUACCUACACUUGAUCUCCGAGACGACAUUAUAGCGGAGGACAGUUUUGGAGACGUCACCCGCAUCCGGAAAAUGGAUUGUUGGUGUAUUUGUCGUCGAUUUCGUGAGCAGAGGGAGGAUCACCAUAUACAAGUGGUCAAGACGUGUGAAGUAGACCGCGGCUGCCGUGACUCUGGUGAGAUGACUAAAGGAAUCAAAAAUCACCCCUCGACCAUCGCCAGAAGAAGACGACCAUGAGGGUAGCGUAGUUAUGGCGAUCGGUGGAAGCCAUUGUGUGGGUAGGGUACAUGGCAUUGAAGAACCCUGAUACUUUUAUGGAUUAAAUUUCAAUUCCUCAGUAAUACAUGUGAGUUUCUGCCUCAAGUCGAGUGCUUCCGACGCCCCUAAACUGAGGUCGUGUGGCUGGAGAGAACACGACUCACCGUGGGAAACAUUAUUCACUAAUCGACGACAAUAAUAGUCUUGUGGAACCACAACAAUAGGUCGUAAUUACCGUCUCGAGCUGCGGGUGUUCGGUCGACGCCCUGUUAGACUGCGACGACUCCGAAUGAUACCCGUUGU
rnacentral:lncRNA from 1 species